GACUUUGUAAACUUGUACUCUAAUUAAUGUCAAACUGGGGUUUAUUAUAUUACUUUUAGUUUUAGGGUGAAAUCAGAAACUAUUUUAUUGUGUACCCUAGUUUUUAAAAUUUAGUGAGCGAGCCAGAUUAGUACCUGGUUAGAUAAAAGUUAAAAGAGCAGGAGUAAAGUAGUAUUUAAACUGUAAGAAUAUUGGCAGGUUUUUAAAUUAUCUUUGGAGGUUGAGUAGUAAUUGAGAGCCCUCAUUAACAACUUUUGCUGUAGGCGCAUGUAUGAUCGUUUAUUUUAUUCUUGGGGGUUGUAACUUUAGUUUUAUUACUGUAAAAAUAGAUAAAUAUCUGGUUAAUGCGAAAGAUUUAAUUUGACCUACAAUAUUAUAAAAUGUGGACUUUCUUUGUAGAGAAGAGAAGAAAAUGUAAAAGACAGUAAGUAACUUUUAAUGGGUUACUGAAGUCUAUUUAAAAAC
rnacentral:rRNA from 1 species